rnacentral:SRP_RNA from 1 species
UGUUGGUUCUCCCGCAACGCUACUCUGUUUACGGUCAGGUCGGAAGGAAGCAGCCAAGGCAGAUGACGCGUGUGCCGGGAUGUAACUGGCGGGG